UACAGAGGUCUCAAGCGUUGUUCGGAUUCAUUGGGCGUAAAGGGUGCGUAGGCGGCGCGGUAAGUCGGGUGUGAAAUCUCGGAGCUUAACUCCGAAACUGCAUUCGAUACUGCCAUGCUUGAGGACUGGAGAGGAGACUGGAAUUUACGGUGUAGCGGUGAAAUGCGUAGAUAUCGUAAGGAAGACCAGUGGCGAAGGCGGGUCUCUGGACAGUUCCUGACGCUGAGGCACGAAGGUCAGGGGGAGCAAACGGG
rnacentral:rRNA from 1 species